rnacentral:rRNA from 1 species
CUGAGUACGGCGGAACACGUGAAAUUCCGUCGGAAUCCGGGAGGACCAUCUCCCAAGGCUAAAUACUCCCUAGUGACCGAUAGUGAACCAGUACCGUGAGGGAAAGGUGAAAAGCACCCCGGAAGGGGAGUGAAACAGUUCCUGAAACCGUGUGCCUACAAGUAGUUAGAGCCCGUUAAUGGGUGAUAGCGUGCCUUUUGUAGAAUGAACCGGCGAGUUACGAUUUGUUGCAAGGUUAAGCGGAAAAAGCGGAGCCGUAGCGAAAGCGAGUCUGAAUAGGGCGCAUAAGUAACAGGUCGUAGACCCGAAACCAGGUGAUCUACCCAUGUCCAGGAUGAAGGUAAGGUAAUACUUACUGGAGGUCCGAACCCACGCACGUUGAAAAGUGCGGGGAUGAGGUGUGGGUAGCGGAGAAAUUCCAAUCGAACUUGGAGAUAGCUGGUUCUCUCCGAAAUAGCUUUAGGGCUAGCCUCGAGGUAAAGAGUCAUGGAGGUAGAGCACUGUUUGGACUAGGGGCCCUUCUCGGGUUACCGAAUUCAGAUAAACUCCGAAUGCCAUGUACUUAUACUCGGGAGUCAGACUGCGAGUGAUAAGAUCCGUAGUCGAAAGGGAAACAGCCCAGACCACCAGUUAAGGUCCCCAAAUAUAUGUUAAGUGGAAAAGGAUGUGGGGUUGCUUAGACAACCAGGAUGUUGGCUUAGAAGCAGCCACCAUUGAAAGAGUGCGUAAUAGCUCACUGGUCGAGUGACCCCGCGCCGAAAAUGUACCGGGGCUAAACAUAUUACCGAAACUGUGGAUGAACCUCUUUAGAGGUUCGUGGUAGGAGAGCGUUCUAAGGGCGGUGAAGUCAGACCGGAAGGACUGGUGGAGCGCUUAGAAGUGAGAAUGCCGGUAUGAGUAGCGAAAGAAGGGUGAGAAUCCCUUCCACCGAAUAUCUAAGGUUUCCUGAGGAAGGCUCGUCCGCUCAGGGUUAGUCGGGACCUAAGCCGAGGCCGAUAGGCGUAGGCGAUGGACAACAGGUAGAGAUUCCUGUACCAGUGCUAAUUGUUUAACCGAUGGGGUGACACAGAAGGAUAGGGAAUCGCACGAAUGGAAAUGUGCGUCCAAGCAGUGAGUGUGAGAAGUAGGCAAAUCCGCUUCUC